rnacentral:pre_miRNA from 1 species
AUAAAAUCAUUAGUUAUCUUAAAAGAUAUUAUUAAUAAGUGCUGUAAUCUAUUUAAGCUCAUUAAUAGAAAUGACUUAUUUAAAAAUAAUGUUUUAAUUUUUGGUGUGACUGUGAUAAACA